GUUGAUCCUGCGGGAGGCUGCUGCUAUAAGGGUUCGACUAAGCCAUGCAAGUUCUGGGGUAGCAAUACACCGGCAAAAUGCUCAAUAACACGUCGAUAAUCUGCCUUUAGGUCAGGGAUAACCUUGGGAAACUGAGGGUAAAACCUGAUAGGAAGUUUCUUCUGGAAAGAUGUUCUUCCUAAAUUUCGAGCCUAAAGAUGAGUCGGCGGCGGAUUAGAUUGUUGGUGGGGUAAUGGCCCACCAAGUCGAAGAUCCGUACGGGCCUUGAGAGAGGUAACCCGGAGAAGGACACUGAGAUACUGGUCCUAGCCCUACGGGGUGCAGCAGGCGCGAAACCUUUACAAUGCACGAAAGUGUGAUAAGGGGACCCUUAGUGCUCAUGCAUUGCAUGGGCUUUUGCCAAGUGUAAAUAGCUUGGCGAAUAAGCGGUGGGUAAGACUGGUGCCAGCCGCCGCGGUAACACCAGCGCCGCAAGUGGGGGCCACAUUUAUUGGGUCUAAAGCGUUCGUAGCCGGUUUAGUAAAUCUCUUGUGAAAUUGUCAAGCUUAACUUGCCAGAUUGCAGAAGACACUACUGAACUAGGGACCGGGAGGAGCCAGGAGUAUUCAUGGGGGAGCGGUAAAAUGCUAUAAUCCCUUGAAGACUACCAGUGGCGAAGGCGCCUGGCCAGAACGGGUCCGACGGUGAGGAACGAAAGCUAGGGGAGCAAUCCGGAUUAGAUACCCGAGUAGUCCUAGCUGUAAACGCUGCGUGCUAGGUGUUGCGUAUUCUACAGGAAUGCGCAGUGUCGAAGCGAAGGCGAUAAGCACGCCACCUGGGAAGUACGGUCGCAAGGCUGAAACUUAAAGGAAUUGGCGGGGGAGCACUACAAGGGGUGCGGCGUGCGGUUUAAUCUAAUUCAACACAGAAAAUCUCACCAGCAGCGACGGCAGGAUGAAAGUCAGAUUAAAGGUUUUACUUGACGAGCCGAGAGGUAGUGCAUGGCCGCCGUCAGCUCGUACCGUGAGGUGUCCUGUUAAGUCAGGCAACGAGCGAGACCUGUAUCCAUAAUUGCUAACAGAUAGCUUGCUAGGACUGAGCACAUUAUGGGGACUGCCUUGGAAACAAGGAGGAAGGCGCAGGCUACGGUAGGUCUGUAUGCUCCGAAUCUGCUGGGCUACACGCGCGCAACAAUGGUAAGGACAAUGUGAUGCAACUCCGAAAGGAGAAGCUAACCCUCUAAACCUUAUCUUAGUCCAGAUUGAGGAUUGUAACUCAUCCUCAUGACGAUGGAAUCCCUAGUAAUCGGGCUUCAUCAGUACCCGGUGAAUAUGUCCCUGCUCCUUGCACACACCGCCCGUCAAACCAACCGAGCAGGGUUUGGGUGAGCCUUAGUUUUUUUGAUUAAGCCGAAUCCAAGCUCAGUAAGGUGGGUUAAGUCGUCACAAGGUA
rnacentral:rRNA from 1 species